GAUACCUUUAAAGUCAGUCCAGAGAGGCUGGGAAGGUUGCACGGAAGUGUACAGGUGAACUGUUGCGCGCAGUUUCAGUGUACCGUUAUUUCUGCACGUAUACCCUCCCGCCUACCAAGGCAGGGAGGGUUUUUUUG
rfam:Bacillus sp. OxB-1 DNA, complete genome.